AGAGUUUGAUCCUGGCUCAGGAUGAACGCUGGCGGCGUGCUUAACACAUGCAAGUCGAACGAACCUUCGGGUUAGUGGCGGACGGGUGAGUAACGCGUGGGAAUCUGCCCUCAGGAGGGGGAUAACGGCUGGAAACGGCCGCUAAUACCCCAUAUGCCGAGAGGUGAAAGGAAAUUCGCCUGAGGAUGAGCCCGCGUCUGAUUAGCUAGUUGGUGGGGUAAGAGCUUACCAAGGCGACGAUCAGUAGCUGGUCUGAGAGGAUGAUCAGCCACACUGGGACUGAGACACGGCCCAGACUCCUACGGGAGGCAGCAGUGGGGAAUUUUCCGCAAUGGGCGAAAGCCUGACGGAGCAACGCCGCGUGAGGGAUGAAGGCCUCUGGGCUGUAAACCUCUUUUCUCAAGGAAGAAGACAUGACGGUACUUGAGGAAUAAGCCACGGCUAAUUCCGUGCCAGCAGCCGCGGUAAUACGGGAGUGGCAAGCGUUAUCCGGAAUUAUUGGGCGUAAAGCGUCCGCAGGCGGCCCUGUAAGUCUGUCGUUAAAGCGUGGAGCUUAACUCCAUUUAAGCGAUGGAAACUACAGGGCUUGAGUGUGGUAGGGGCAGAGGGAAUUCCCGGUGUAGCGGUGAAAUGCGUAGAUAUCGGGAAGAACACCAGUGGCGAAGGCGCUCUGCUGGGCCAUAACUGACGCUCAUGGACGAAAGCCAGGGGAGCGAAAGGGAUUAGAUACCCCUGUAGUCCUGGCCGUAAACGAUGAACACUAGGUGUCGGGGGAAUCGACCCCCUCGGUGUCGUAGCCAACGCGUUAAGUGUUCCGCCUGGGGAGUACGCACGCAAGUGUGAAACUCAAAGGAAUUGACGGGGGCCCGCACAAGCGGUGGAGUAUGUGGUUUAAUUCGAUGCAACGCGAAGAACCUUACCAGGGUUUGACAUCCUGCGAAUCCCUUGGAAACGAGGGAGUGCCUUCGGGAGCGCAGAGACAGGUGGUGCAUGGCUGUCGUCAGCUCGUGUCGUGAGAUGUUGGGUUAAGUCCCGCAACGAGCGCAACCCACGUCUUUAGUUGCCAGCAUUCAGUUGGGCACUCUAGAGAGACCGCCGGUGAUAAACCGGAGGAAGGUGUGGAUGACGUCAAGUCAUCAUGCCCCUUACAUCCUGGGCUACACACGUACUACAAUGCUACGGACAAAGGGCAGCAAGCUCGCGAGAGUUAGCAAAUCCCAUAAACCGUGGCUCAGUUCAGAUCGUAGGCUGCAACUCGCCUACGUGAAGGAGGAAUCGCUAGUAAUCGCAGGUCAGCAUACUGCGGUGAAUACGUUCCCGGGCCUUGUACACACCGCCCGUCACACCAUGGAAGUUGGCCAUGCCCGAAGUCGUUACUCCAACCC
rnacentral:rRNA from 1 species